GCCGGGAAACUGAACAAACUACUUGACUCACGAUAAACACACCUUGAGAACGGAUAUUGUUAGUGAAAGAGACGUGUCAAAUCUGUUAUCCAUUCCGUUUUGUGGAUUAACUUUCCCUGUAGAGUGGGAGUUUAUUGACAAGAGAAAGGCAUUAGCCUGAACUUAGUACUGAUGCAGAAACAAGGCUUUUGAGGGGCACUUCAACUCCACCAUUUAAAAACGAUUCCUUUGGAUGACAGAUGCAACCAUCAAGGCUAGUUCUCCAUUCUUUCCCUCGAAGAGAAAAGUGAGGAGGUGGAGAGAGAAACAAGACGAGGAGGAGUGAAAGAACCAAGAGAAAGGUCACCGCUGCACAUGGCAGCAAGUCGAGCAGAUUGUUACGUGUCUGGAGCUCAGAGGUCACAGCAGGCCAGUGGUAUCAGGCUGCAGCUGAGAGUGACUUUCCAAACAGCGAGAGGUGAUCCCUGGAGUCCUUUCUGAGGGUGCAUGUGCUCGUACAAUAGCAUGAGGAUAGAUUUGUUUAAAGUGGCAAAUUGCCUGAUUCAUCAGCAAGGACAAAACCCCUAUUGAUGCCAUCCAUCUCUGACAAUUGAAA